rnacentral:rRNA from 1 species
UACGUAGGGACCGAGCGUUGUCCGGAAUCAUUGGGCGUAAAGAGCGUGUAGGCGGCUAUUUAAGUCCUGCGUGAAAUCCUGCGGCUCAACCGCAGACGGUCGUGGGAAACUGGAUGGCUAGAGUGCGGGGAGAGGAGAGUGGAAUUCCCGGUGUAGCGGUGAAAUGCGCAGAUAUCGGGAAGAACACCCGUGGCGAAGGCGGCUACUCUGGGACGGUACUGACGCUGAGACGCGAAAGCGUGGGGAGCAAACAGG